rnacentral:rRNA from 1 species
CCUACGGGGGGCUGCAGUCGAGAAUCAUUCACAAUGGGGGAAACCCUGAUGGUGCGACGCCGCGUGGGGGAAUGAAGGUCUUCGGAUUGUAAACCCCUGUCAUGUGGGAGCAAAUUAAAAAGAUAGUACCACAAGAGGAAGAGACGGCUAACUCUGUGCCAGCAGCCGCGGUAAUACAGAGGUCUCAAGCGUUGUUCGGAAUCACUGGGCGUAAAGCGUGCGUAGGCUGUUUCGUACGUCGUGUGUGAAAGGCGCGGGCUCAACCCGCGGAAGGCACAUGAUACUGCGAGACUAGAGUAAGGGAGGGGGAACCGGAAUUCUCGGUGUAGCAGUGAAAUGCGUAGAUAUCGAGAGGAACACUCGUGGCGAAGGCGGGUUCCUGGACAUUAACUGACGCUGAGGCACGAAGGCCAGGGGAGCGAAAGGGAUUAGAUACCCGGGUAGUC